AUUCUGUCCAAGCUGUAAAUAAGCUGUGCAAUAAAACUCAGUUUAGAAAAUGGAAAAUGAAAAACAGAAAACGAUCUUCCAAUUUCCACAAAUAAACAAGCUCUAAAGUAUUGAAAGGGGCAACAUUUCAUAUCUUUUGCUGUAUGUUAUACUUCCACAUUCAUGCACAUUAUUUAGAUCCUCCUACCUUGAACCUUGUUAAUGUUUAUUAGUAAAAUCUUGAAAGUUGUAUAACCAAUGGGUAUCGGAGGAGCCAAAAACCUGCAUAUACUAACAUGUGGCCAACCCUAAGUUUCUUGAACCUGAGUUGAGUUUAUUGUAAAUGUGGUGGAUCAGAAGGUGACAUCACAGAAUUAUUUUUGUUAUUCUAUGAUAAAAAGGGUGAAGAAAUUGCACCUAUUGUUCAGGCAUGCCUGCUGGGUUUAGCCAUGUGCUUAAUCUGAGUUCUUGUUACUUGAAUUUUGUUUCUUGAGUUUUAAGCUCAAGGUUGAUAGGUUUUGUUAAUAUGUUUUUGUUUUAGUUCCAAACCACUGUACCAACUGUUGAUUCCUGACUUCUUCAAAGCUAUUUCCUUUAGCACUAGUGAUGCUACUUUGUUCUUUUGGACGAAAAAAUCUGCAGCUUUACACAAAUUAUACUCUUUGUUUAGUUUAAAUAUUGAUGGAUGUCUUUAAUAAUUCUAACAGUUUUUUUAAUAAUUAUUCAUAUCUUGUGCUCUUCUUACACUCCUACAGAAUGAAGCUGUGUUGAAGGCA
rnacentral:misc_RNA from 1 species